GGCCUUGUGGCUCAAUUGGCAGAGCGUCCGACUCCAGAUCGGAAGGUUAUCUGUUCAAGUCAGGUCAGGGUCA
rnacentral:tRNA from 1 species